UUCAGUAACACAAACAGCAUAUUUUUCAGUUUCCUCUGCUGGUGUAGAGAUUUUCUACUUAUGAAAAUGUGUCUGUGUCACAUGUUCCCUUUCUAAACCAGCAGAGGGCGUUUAUGCAAACUCUUCCUCUCUUAUAAACACACCAUCAGGAACUUGUGGCACAUCACUGCGACACUUUGACACAUUUUCAGAAACACUCAGCUCAGAGAGCAGUGAACUGCUGUGUUUAUCACAGAAUGGAAAAUAUAAUUAUCUGGAGUUUAUUAUUUGUAGUUACUGUUCAUGGAGUUUGGAGUGAGAUCAGACUGGACCAGACUCCCUCUGAGGUGAAAAGACCUGGAGACACAGUGAAGAUGUCAUGUAUCAUAUCUGGGUUUGACAUGACAAGCUACUAUAUUCACUGGAUAAGACAGAGACCAGGGAGAGCUCUGGAGUGGAUUGGGAGGAUGGAUGCAGGUUCAAACUCUGCUAUCUAUGCCAGCUCCUUUCAAAGUGGUUUCGUCAUGACUGAAGACGUGUCCAGCAGCACUCAGUACCUCGAGGUCAAGAGCCUGACAGCAGAAGAUUCUGCCGUUUACUUCUGUGCUCGACAGACACAGUGACUGAAGACAGUGGAGCAGCUGCACAAAAACCUCCACAGACAACAAACAAAAUGUUUCAUGAAAAUGACCCCUUAGAGAAAACAGCUGGACACUUCAUACCAAUUGUGUAGUUCAGUGGUUUUUCCAGGUGUCACAUGUAAUGUUUCAUUGUUGAAAAAGUUCAUUUUACAUAUAUUAUUUGAUUCCAACAGACCUUUUGUUGUGCAGUACAGCAAAUAGUAUUUGACACAGGUUUCAUUUCCGAAGUAGUUUGUUUCCUCUAAAGGCUCCAAGUGUCUGUGGCUUCAGAUAUCCAGUUUGAACAAUGAAACCUUUAACCCUCUGAA